AGAGUUUGAUCCUGGCUCAGGAUGAACGCUGGCGGCAUGCCUAAUACAUGCAAGUCGAACGAGAGGAAGGAAAGCUUGCUUUCCUAAAUCUAGUGGCGAACGGGUGAGUAACACGUAGGUAACCUGCCCAUGUGCCCGGGAUAACUUCUGGAAACGGAUGCUAAAACCGGAUAGGUAGCAGACAAGCAUUUGACUGCUAUUAAAGUGGCCUUGGCCAUGAACAUGGAUGGACCUGCGGUGCAUUAGCUGGUUGGUGAGGUAACGGCCCACCAAGGCGACGAUGCAUAGCCGGCCUGAGAGGGCGGACGGCCACAUUGGGACUGAGACACGGCCCAAACUCCUACGGGAGGCAGCAGUAGGGAAUUUUCGUCAAUGGGGGGAACCCUGAACGAGCAAUGCCGCGUGAGUGAGGAAGGUCUUCGGAUCGUAAAGCUCUGUUGUAAGAGAAAAACGGCACUCAUAGGGAAUGAUGAGUGAGUGAUGGUAUCUUACCAGAAAGUCACGGCUAACUACGUGCCAGCAGCCGCGGUAAUACGUAGGUGGCGAGCGUUAUCCGGAAUGAUUGGGCGUAAAGGGUGCGUAGGUGGCAGAUCAAGUCUGGAGUAAAAGGUAUGGGCUCAACCCGUACUGGCUCUGGAAACUGAUCAGCUAGAGAACAGAAGAGGACGGCGGAACUCCAUGUGUAGUGGUAAAAUGCGUAGAUAUAUGGAAGAACACCGGUGGCGAAGGCGGCCGUCUGGUCUGGAUUCUGACACUGAAGCACGAAAGCGUGGGGAGCAAAUAGGAUUAGAUACCCUAGUAGUCCACGCCGUAAACGAUGAGAACUAGGUGUUGGGGGAAUAACUCAGUGCCGCAGUUAACGCAGUAAGUUCUCCGCCUGGGGAGUAUGCACGCAAGUGUGAAACUCAAAGGAAUUGACGGGGGCCCGCACAAGCGGUGGAGUAUGUGGUUUAAUUCGAAGCAACGCGAAGAACCUUACCAGGCCUUGACAUCCCUUGCAGAGGUAUAGAGAUAUAUCCGAGGUUAUCAAGGAGACAGGUGGUGCAUGGUUGUCGUCAGCUCGUGUCGUGAGAUGUUGGGUUAAGUCCCGCAACGAGCGCAACCCUUGUGAUAUGUUACUAACAUUGAGUUGAGGACUCAUAUCAGACUGCCGGUGAUAAACCGGAGGAAGGUGGGGAUGACGUCAAAUCAUCAUGCCCCUUAUGGCCUGGGC
rnacentral:rRNA from 1 species